AAGAAAUGAAGGACUCACGACAACAUGGAUAAACCCUGAAAACGUCGCACUGAGUGGAAGAAGCCAAUCACAAAGACCGUGUGUUUAUGAGCUAAAGUAUUUGGAGUUUCCAGAACAGCCAGCAUGGAGAAGGGAGAAGGACGCUGCAGGAGAGGUCAGCUGAUGCUGAGUGACGUGGGACCUCACAGGCGGUAGAUGGCUCCAGGGCAGCAGGUGGCUUGAAGGGCUCACCUCUGUCAUCAUCCUUCCCCAAGGACCAGUGUGGAGGGAGAUCUGGCUUAUCUGCAAUGGCACAUGCCUGCAGCCAGCACAGGCAGGGAGCAGGUGUUGCUGCUUCCAGGUCUCAGCCCCCAGAGAGGGCUACCAAGCAUGCCUGCACACAGCCUUCUGCAACAUCUCCCAUGUGGAAAAGCCCAAGGUGUCCUUAUCCGACUGCUCAGGAAAAAUAUCCUACACAGUAGCCUAUCCAUGAAGACUUCAUACUUUCUGGGCUGAAGGAACUGGGGGAAGGGAUGGGGAAAUCCACAAGGACAGCUCUAACGUGGGUUCCAAAAGGAGAUCAUUUUUUGGAUGAAAAAGGAAGGAAGGAAGGGAGAGAGCCCAUGGACAAAUACAUUUAGAGAACUGCUACUCCCCUCACUGAGAUCUACAAUUCACAGUAACAUAUUAAAGGCACUGAGAAGUCCUGCAGCCACAAAA